GGACCUGGUGUGGGACCAACACAGCGACCCCACACUGGUGCAGGCUUGGGGACAGGUCUGGUCUAUUGAAGGUUGUUUGGAUCUCAGACUGAGCACUGGCCUGGCCAAAGAGUGCACAGGAACCACACGGACCAGUUGUUUUGGAUUUUGAACA